CUAGUUACAGGCUUAACACAUGCAAGUCGAGGGGCAUCAGGAAGAAAGCUUGCUUUCUUUGCUGGCGACCGGCGCACGGGUGAGUAACACGUAUCCAACCUGCCCUUUACUCGGGGAUAGCCUUUCGAAAGAAAGAUUAAUACCCGAUGGCAUAAUGAUUCCGCAUGGUUUCAUUAUUAAAGGAUUCCGGUAAAGGAUGGGGAUGCGUUCCAUUAGGUUGUUGGUGAGGUAACGGCUCACCAAGCCUUCGAUGGAUAGGGGUUCUGAGAGGAAGGUCCCCCACAUUGGAACUGAGACACGGUCCAAACUCCUACGGGAGGCAGCAGUGAGGAAUAUUGGUCAAUGGGCGCUAGCCUGAACCAGCCAAGUAGCGUGAAGGAUGAAGGCUCUAUGGGUCGUAAACUUCUUUUAUAUAAGAAUAAAGUGCAGUAUGUAUACUGUUUUGUAUGUAUUAUAUGAAUAAGGAUCGGCUAACUCCGUGCCAGCAGCCGCGGUAAUACGGAGGAUCCGAGCGUUAUCCGGAUUUAUUGGGUUUAAAGGGAGCGUAGGUGGACUGGUAAGUCAGUUGUGAAAGUUUGCGGCUCAACCGUAAAAUUGCAGUUGAUACUGUCAGUCUUGAGUACAGUAGAGGUGGGCGGAAUUCGUGGUGUAGCGGUGAAAUGCUUAGAUAUCACGAAGAACUCCGAUUGCGAAGGCAGCUCACUGGACUGCAACUGACACUGAUGCUCGAAAGUGUGGGUAUCAAACAGGAUUAGAUACCCUGGUAGUCCACACAGUAAACGAUGAAUACUCGCUGUUUGCGAUAUACAGUAAGCGGCCAGGCGAAAGCAUUAAGUAUUCCACCUGGGGAGUACGCCGGCAACGGUGAAACUCAAAGGAAUUGACGGGGGCCCGCACAAGCGGAGGAACAUGUGGUUUAAUUCGAUGAUACGCGAGGAACCUUACCCGGGCUUAAAUUGCAGUGGAAUGAUGUGGAAACAUGUCAGUGAGCAAUCACCGCUGUGAAGGUGCUGCAUGGUUGUCGUCAGCUCGUGCCGUGAGGUGUCGGCUUAAGUGCCAUAACGAGCGCAACCCUUAUCUUUAGUUACUAACAGGUUAUGCUGAGGACUCUAGAGAGACUGCCGUCGUAAGAUGUGAGGAAGGUGGGGAUGACGUCAAAUCAGCACGGCCCUUACAUCCGGGGCGACACACGUGUUACAAUGGUGGGGACAAAGGGCAGCUACACAGUGAUGUGAUGCUAAUCUCCAAACCCCAUCUCAGUUCGGAUCGAAGUCUGCAACCCGACUUCGUGAAGCUGGAUUCGCUAGUAAUCGCGCAUCAGCCAUGGCGCGGUGAAUACGUUCCCGGGCCUUGUACACACCGCCCGUCAAGCCAUGGGAGUUGGGGGUACCUAAAGUCCGUAACCGCAAGGAUCGUCCUAGGGUAAAACCGAUGACUGGG
rnacentral:rRNA from 1 species